UUAUUUAACACAACAGUUUCUCAAUACUAAAAAUAGUAGGAAAGGAAGUUAGUAACAUCUUUGAAGGGAAGAAUUACUAGAAACUUGCACUUUCUAUUUCAAGGCAUAUUUCUCUAAUCGUUGAAAAUUCUACAGCCUAAAUCCAUUUUUAACCCAUGGAGUUGAAAGCAAAGGAAUGGAUCAUUUCCAUCUGGGCUCUUUCAUGUUUUCGGGCAUGCUGGCAACGUUUCCAAAAACUUGUACAGAGUGCAAGCCCUACAGGUUUCUAUAAUUAACUCCUGAACUGCAAUUGGUCUUUCAACUGUGUCUCCUCCAAGAAGCCCUGCAUUGUCUCCUCCAACAAUGUCUCCUCCAAGAAGCCCUACAUUGAUUCAUAAACUAAGGAAUUUUCAUAGGUUUCUAUGAUUU